rnacentral:rRNA from 1 species
GAUGAACGCUGGCGGCGUGCCUAAUACAUGCAAGUCGAGCGAACAGAUAAGGAGCUUGCUCCUUUGACGUUAGCGGCGGACGGGUGAGUAACACGUGGAUAACCUACCUAUAAGACUGGGAUAACUUCGGGAAACCGGAGCUAAUACCGGAUAACAUAUUGAACCGCAUGGUUCAAUAGUGAAAGGCGGCUUUGCUGUCACUUAUAGAUGGAUCCGCGCCGUAUUAGCUAGUUGGUAAGGUAACGGCUUACCAAGGCAACGAUACGUAGCCGACCUGAGAGGGUGAUCGGCCACACGGGAACUGGGCCACGGUCCAGACUCCUACGGGAGGCAGCAGUAGGGAAUCUGCCGCAAUGGGCGAAAGCCUGACGGAGCAACGCCGCGUGAGUGAUGAAGGUCUUCGGAUCGUAAAACUCUGUUAUCAGGGAAGAACAAAUGUGUAAGUAACUGUGCACAUCUUGACGGUACCUGAUCAGAAAGCCACGGCUAACUACGUG